GGAUCUCUAAUUUUACUUGGAUAACUGUGGUAAUUCUAGAGCUAAUACACGCACUAAAGCUCUGACCUUACGGGACGAGCGCAUUUAUUAGAACAAAACCAAUCGGGUUUCGGCCCGUGCGUUGGUGACUCUGAAUAACUCUGCCGAUCGCAUGGUCUCGCACCGGCGACGUAUCUUUCAAGUGUCUGCGUUAUCAACUUUCGAUGGUAGUUUAUGUGCCUACCAUGGUUGUAACGGGUAACGGAGAAUAAGGGUUCGACUCCGGAGAGGGAGCCUGAGAAACGGCUACCACAUCCAAGGAAGGCAGCAGGCGCGCAAAUUACCCACUCUCGGCACGAGGAGGUAGUGACGAAAAAUAACGAGAUGGAUCUCUUUGAGGCCCAUUAUCGGAAUGUGAACAAUUCAAAUCCUUUAACGAGGAUCUAGCGGAGGGCAAGUCUGGUGCCAGCAGCCGCGGUAAUUCCAGCUCCGCAGGUGUAUAUCUAUGCUGCUGCGGUUAAAAAGCUCGUAGUUGGAUCUGCGUGCUCGGAACUGGUUGGCUCACUGAGUUCAAACUGGUCUCCGGCGCUUUAUUUGCUGGUUUUCCCUUGAUGCUCUUAACCGGGUGUCUCGGGUGGCUAGCGUGUUUACUUUGAAAAAAUUAGAGUGCUCAAUACAGGCGCAAAGCCUUGAAUAGUGGUGCAUGGAAUAAUAGAAUAGGACCUCGGCUCUAUUUUGUUGGUUUUCGGAACACGAGGUAGUGAUUAAGAGGGACAGACGGGGGCAUUCGUAUUGCGACGUUAGAGGUGAAAUUCUUGGAUCGUCGCAAGACGGACGACUGCGAAAGCAUUUGCCAAGAAUGUUUUCAUUAAUCAAGAACGAAAGUUAGAGGUUCGAAGGCGAUCAGAUACCGCCCUAGUUCUAACCGUAAACGAUGCCAACUAGCGAUUCGCAGGCGUUAAACAACGACCUUGCGGGCAGCUUCCCGGAAACGAAAGUGUUCCGGUUCCGGGGGAAGUAUGGUUGCAAAGCUGAAACUUAAAGGAAUUGACGGAAGGGCACCACCAGGAGUGGAGCCUGCGGCUCAAUUUGACUCAACACGGGAAAACUCACCCGGCCCGGACACCGUAAGGAUUGACAGAUUGAGAGCUCUUUCUUGAUUCGGUGGGUGGUGGUGCAUGGCCGUUCUUAGUUGGUGGAGCGAUUUGUCUGGUUUAUUCCGAUAACGAACGAGACUCUGGCCUACUAAAUAGUGGGCGGAUUCUUUCUGUCCGCAACACUUCUUAGAGGGACAAGCGGUGUUCAGCCGCACGAGAUUGAGCAAUAACAGGUCUGUGAUGCCCUUAGAUGUCCGGGGCUGCACGCGCGCUACACUGAAGG
rnacentral:rRNA from 1 species